rnacentral:lncRNA from 1 species
CUGCUGUACACCAGCUCCAGACCAAACAGGGCGCAGCCUCCUCCUCCGCUCAUGCAGGGAUGUUGGGAGGAUGAAUCUCAUCAGGUGUAGCAGCAUCCAGACACCUCACAGGCAUUCGAUUACAGUAGUAUCUGCCUCGUUCAAUGCCCAGAGGGAUAAAAUAACUAAGGAGAUGCUACCUUUUUUUAAAACACUAUCUCUCUUUUAUUACCUGGGUUAGAGUCUUUGUUCCAAACACAGUCCAAGCUGCCUUUGCAAUCAGCAGUGUAACUGCAUCCUCAUGCACUGCAUCAUUUCCUUUCUUUAUUUCAUAGAGUCUCGCUGCGUUUCUCCCUUCCCGAAAGCGAGAGCCUGCGGGCGUUGGCGGCGCCGCGGUCUGACAGGAGAGCGGGGAGCGGAGCCGUGCCGGGAUUAAGUCACUCUCACAAGGUCACGCGGUGAAUCGCUGCUGCUGCCAAGAAUAGCGCCCCGAGUCUCUUGGCUCUCUCAAGCCCACCCGCAGCACUCCAGCCUCCUUUCCUCGGGUUAUGAAGCUUUCUGCAGCAAGAUUUGAAGCAGCCAAAUUCCAGCUUAGAUUAAAGUCCCUAGGAUUCACUUGUGAUUUCUGGAUGGAGUAUGGCAAGAGCGUUGGUGGGAGCAGACAAUGCUUGUGCUGAUAGCAGAGGUUGAAGUGUUUCCUGUCAUGGAAAAGAUGAACAAGCCAGUUCCGCAUCAGCUUUCUUUUCUGAGACUUAGGAUCAGCAAACGUAUAGGACAGGUACACUUCCUUCUGAGUGACAGCACUUCCCAAAGCCUCGCUCUGCAGCCCCUGGAGCCUGGCCAUGGUGAGGGGUGAGUGCUGCAGAGGCGUCACUGGGGCUGGCCCUUGCUGGGUCACAUGAACUCUGCACUGGGGGAGGAAGGGCCUGAGCUUUUGAUUUCUGAAGGAUAUUGCCCUGAUAAAUAAAGAAAAGAUUUAACUACUGCA